UGUCCUCCACAGGAGGUUUAUAUUGAGCAGAUUCUUUUUGGUAUUGGGUGGUGGAACCGGAGCGUGCUCCAUCCACUCCAUGCAUUGACCUGGUAUUACAGUGCUCCCAGGACCGGUGC
rnacentral:snRNA from 1 species